CUGCGGGCCGGUGCGGGGAGGAGCUCCGGGCGGCUCCGAGUGGUGACGGCGCAGGCCCGGCGCCCAGGGGGAGCUCAGAGACGCCUGCCGGGCUGCAUUGCCCGCUAUGCGGAGCCAGAUAGAAUCUUGCUAAACUGCCCAGGCUGAACUUGAACUCAUGGUCUUCUGCCUCAGUCUCCAGAGGAGCUAGACUUACAGUCCAGGAGGGAAUGAGCACCGGAGAAGCGAUUUACUCCAGAUCUUGUGGCAGAGCUGGGGACACAACCUACGUCCCUGCUCAACUGACUCCCAGCUCGUCCUGUUUGCUUUCUCUUGAGUGGUGAACUCGUUUUGGUUCAGUCAUCAGCGAGACCUCUUCCAGCUGGCUCAGAGGGAAGCCUGUCAAAGACGAAGCACUUCCGCAAGCCCGACAGAGGACUGCGCGUUUCGCAUUUGAAUCCGGGAUGGCGGGAAGCGGCGGCGGCGGCAGGUGUCUGAAGGGGCGGGGCGGAGCCGCCGGGCCGCCAGCCAAUCAGCGAGUGCCCCCCGUGCCCGCGCCAAAAUUCCAAACGGUUCGCACGCCGCCCAGCGUGUCCCUCCGCCAGCGCCGCAGCCGGAACUACGUGAGGGGAGACUUGUGC
rnacentral:lncRNA from 1 species